rnacentral:rRNA from 1 species
AUGAGGAGCCUGAAGAAGAAGCAGCAACAGCUUCAAGUUGAUCAAGAUCUGCUCACAGGGAGAUGGACGGAAGUCCUGGCAGCCGAGGAAUAUGGACUCGAGCGCCACAUGGCUGACCGGCCGCCUCGAGGUCGGGAUAAAACGGCAUAUCAGCCUGAAUACCAGCCUGCACCCCCGCGCCAGUUUACUACAACCCGGGGCAAUACUCAGGAACUGCGUGAUAGAUUGGAUAGCACCGCAGGACAACCAAGAUCGAUCUACGGAUCACGGGGGCGCGCUGCAGCACAUGACCAUGACCAUCAUACCAGAUACACUAACAGUAAAUCCGGCCGGCCUGAACACAACCAGCCAGAUUUAGCCGGACUGCGUCAUGACAUAGCCUGGCACAGAGGCGCCGCACACCCCCUCUGCUUCACUGAUGAAGUGAUGGAUCAUGAAUUCUCAGAAGGGUUCAAACCCGUAAACAUCGAAUCAUACGAUGGCACAACAUACCCCGCGGUAUGGAUUGAAGACUUCCUUCUCCACAUCCACAUGGCCCGCGGAGAUGAUCUACAUGCCAUCAAGUAUCUUCCCCUUAAGCUCAAAGGACCCGCCCGGUACUGGCUUAACAGCCUGCCCGCAAAUUCCAUUGGCAGUUGGGAAAACCUGGAAGACGCAUUCCUUGACAACUUCCAAGGCACAUAUGUGCGACCUCCGGACGCCGAUGACUUGAGCCACAUCACUCAACAGCCCGGAGAAUCAGCCAGGAAAUUCUGGACUCGGUUCCUAACUAAAAAGAACCAAAUAGUCGACUGUCCGGACGCCGAAGCGCUGGCGGCCUUCAAGCAUAAUAUCCGCGACGAGUGGCUCGCCCGACACCUCGGCCAGGAGAAACCCAAGCCCAUGGCAGCUCUCACGACACUAAUGACCCGCUUUUGCCCGGGCGAGGACAACUGGUUGGCUCGCAGCAGCACUACACCACAUUCUCGCACGUCAGAUGUCCGUGACAAUAAUGGCAAGCUACGGCGCAAUAGACACAAGCGAUGGAACAACAGCGACAACACCGAAGACACGAUAGUCAAUGCCGGAUUCACCGAAUCUAAAUCCGGUCAGCGGAAGAAGCCAUUCAAAAGAAACAACCAGGGACCGUCCAGUGGUGGCUCGGCCGCAUUGGUCUUAGACCCAAUCAUCGACGAAUUCCAUCUCACGCGAGUCCUUAUGGACGACGGCAACAGCCUUUACCUGCUUUACCAAGACAUAGUGCGCAAAAUGGGCAUCGAUCCUUCAGGAUCAAGCCCACCAAAACCACCUUUAAAGGUGUAA